AAGUGCACGCCGCGCGGAGGACGAAGAGGCUGCACGCACAGCCGCUGCCGGGGGUCGGGGCCAAGUGCGCGCCUCGCCGAGGACGAAGAGGCUGGCGUGCCCGGUGGCUCGGCUAGCUCCCGGGUCCCGGCCCCGCCUGGAGGGUGGCCAUCAUCGAAUCCACUGAGGGCGCAAAUAGAACAAAAAGGUGAAGAAAAGGUGAAUUCUCUCCUUUCUUGAGCUGGGACAUCCAACUUCUCAGACAUCAGAGCUCCUGGAGGCCUUCAGACUCCGAGACAUUACACCAUUGGCUCACCUGGUCCUCAGGUCUUUGGACUUGGAAUGAAUUACACCAUUGGCUUUCCAGGUCUUCCAGCUUGCAGAUGGCAGAUUGUGGGACUUUUCAGCCUCCAUAACUUUGUCAUCCAAUUCCCAUAAUAAAUCGCCUCUUAUAUCUGUAUCUGUUUGGUUCUGUUCUGGAGAUCCCGGAUUAAUGCAAAUGGAUUAAAAAAAUGCGGCCGGGCACGGUGGCUCAUGCCUGUAAUCCCAGCACUUUGGGAGGCCGAGGCAGGUGGAUCACUUGAGGCCAGGAGUUCAAGACCAGCCUGGCCAACAUGGUGAAACCCCACGAAACCCUGUCUCUACUAAAAAAAAAAUACAAAAUUAGCUGGGUGUGGUGGCGCACGCCUGUAAUCCCAGCUACUUGGAGGGCUGAGGCAGGAGGAUUGCGCGAACCCAGGAGACAGAGGUUGUAGUGAGCUGAGAUCACACCACUGCACUCCAGCUUGGGUGACAGAGUGAGACUCCAUCUCAAAAACAAAACAAAACAAAACCCCAAAAUGUGGUAUAUACAUGCAAGGGAAUAUUAUUCAGCCUUAAGGAAGGGAAUUCUGAUACAUGCUGUAUUGAGGAGCCUUGAAGGCAACAUGCUGAGUCAAAGAAUCCAGACACAAAAGGACAAAUGUUAUAUGAUUCUACUUAUGUGAGAUACCUACAAUAGUCAAAUUCAUAGAGAAAGGAAGUA
rnacentral:lncRNA from 1 species